GUGGCGAAGUAGUUGGAGUGUCAAAUCUAUUCUUUAUUUAUAUGCAAACUUUAAUCUCGUUGAUGAAUUCGGCUAGUUGUUUGAUCUCGUCUUCUUGGUUAUUGGAUAGUACUGUAAUUAGAGAUCGCAUUGGUCAUUUGGUGUCAGUUUCCAUUUAAAAAGUCGGUCUUUAGUGGCUGUAUGUCCUGUUCGUAACCUUGAUAACGUGAUUAUGUAAUUUGUGGAUUUUGUAACAGUAUGUUUAAAUCAACAUUGUCAAAGGCCUUCGAUAAGUCAAGAAAUGUUGCAACAAUUACUUCGCCUUCUCUUUUGGAGUGAUGAACAUGUGAAAUAAGUGUAUUGACACAAUUAAUGGAGGAGAUCUUCUUUCUAAAACCAAAUGAGUAUAUAGGAAUGAGCUUUGUUCUUUCUAAAUAGUCUGAUAAUCUACAUUUUACUGCAAAGUUUAUUAGUUUCAGUAUGACACAAAGCAUGGAUAAUGGUCGGUAAAAUGUUGUUAGGUUGGGGUUUUUGCUGGUUUUAAUGUAGGUAUAAGUUUGAUGUUUCUCCAAUAGUCUGGAAUUGAUCCAUUGUUUACUACAGUGUUAAUAAUUUCAACAAUUUUUAUAGUUAGAUUAGUAUUUAUAUUUUUGAGAAUAUAAAAGGAUAUACCGUCUAUUCCUGGUGAAGAGUGAUCUUUCUUUGAAUGUAUUAGUUUAUGGAUUUCUUCAAAUGUAAUUUCAAUUGUUUGUGUUGUUUCAGUCGGUCUAAAUUGAAUUAGGUUAAUAUUUUGAGGGAAGUUAUUGUCAAUGAACUCGUUAGCCAUCUGGUCAUCGUUCAGUAAUAAUAAAUUGUUUUUUGACGGAAAGCCUCCGCUGAUUCUUUCAACGGUAUUCCAAAGUUGUUUCUGAUCCAUUUCCGGAUUUAUUGUGUCAACAAGUUUAUUCCAGCUGAUUCUAGAUUGUUUACGGAUCAUUUGUUUAAGCUUUGCUCUAGAUUUUCUGAAUUGCAGGUAGUUUUCAACUGUUUGGUUUCUAAAGUAAGCAGUGAGGUAUUUGUUAAGAGUGGUAGUAUGUCAUGUUGUGUUCUUAUUAUGUGUGGUGGGAUUUCAUUUAUUUUUUCUAUUGCUUUUGUUUUAUUUAAACAUAUAGUACGUGUUUCAAAUUAUAUUAGUUUAUGGUUGCUACAUAUUUCCUCGUUGAUUACUUUCCAGUCUACUUUGUGAGAUAUAUCUUUUGAUAUGAGAGUAAGAUCAAUUGCUGACGGAAUUGUGUUAGGCGCUUUGAUAAGUGUUGGACAACCGUCAUUCAUGAUUACAAAUUCUGUGUUCUCUAUAAGUUUUUCAAUCAGUUAUCCUCUGGGACAAUUAGAAUGAGAUGGGUUCCAGAUUAAAUUGUGUGCAUUGAAGUCUCCGGCCAAAACGGUUGGUAAGUUGGAUUUUUCUAUAAUCUCUAAUAAUUUAAUUAAUGGUUCUUUGAUGUCUUGAUUUCUAAUAGGGGAAGGUGGUAUGUAAAUAGAUAUAAUCAAUAGUUCUUUCUCCGUAUUUAGGGUCUUGAUUGCUAUUGUUUCUAAUGGGCUUAAUUUUGGGAGCACGGAAUCGUCAAAUUUAAUUCCAUUUUUUACUAGUAUUCCGACUCCACCGUAUCCAGUUGGUCGAAGAGAUUUUUGAAAUUUGUAUCCAGGGAAGCUAUAGUGUUCGUUGGAUUUAAUCCAUAUUUCCUGUAAGAGUGCAAUGUCUAUUUGGUUGGUAUUAAGGAAGUGAUUGAGCAUUUUUCGUGUAUCAGAUGGUCUGAGGCUGGUUAUGUUUUGUUGUAUGAAUUUUAGUGUCCUGUACUUGUUCAUAUUAGUUUAGUGUUUUUGGAGGUGGUCGGGAUUAUUUGGACUUCCGGUUCUAUGAUAGCUUUAAUUUGAUCGCUAAUAUUAAUCAAGAGUAUAUCCGAGUCUAUUGAAUUUUUUUUUGUUUUUAUGUUGAUUUGCGUGUUUGAUUAUACUGUUUUGUAUUCCUUUGAUUUUGUUUAUUAGCGUGUCCAGGUUGAGUUGUUGAAUAAGUUCGUUUUUAACUGUUUGAAUAAUUUUAUCAAUUUCGAA